GAUGAACGCUGGCGGCGUGCUUAACACAUGCAAGUCGAACGGUGAAGGCGGAGCUUGCUCUGCUGGAUCAGUGGCGAACGGGUGAGUAACACGUGAGCAAUCUGCCCCUGACUCUGGGAUAAGCGCUGGAAACGGCGUCUAAUACUGGAUACGAGCUGCGAAGGCAUCUUCAGCAGCUGGAAAGAAUUUCGGUCAGGGAUGAGCUCGCGGCCUAUCAGCUUGUUGGUGAGGUAAUGGCUCACCAAGGCGUCGACGGGUAGCCGGCCUGAGAGGGUGACCGGCCACACUGGGACUGAGACACGGCCCAGACUCCUACGGGAGGCAGCAGUGAGGAAUAUUGCACAAUGGGCGAAAGCCUGAUGCAGCAACGCCGCGUGAGGGACGACGGCCUUCGGGUUGUAAACCUCUUUUAGCAGGGAAGAAGCGAAAGUGACGGUACCUGCAGAAAAAGCGCCGGCUAACUACGUG
rnacentral:rRNA from 1 species